AUCGCUUCUCGGCCUUUUGGCUCAGAUCAAGUGUAGUAUCUGUUCUUAUCAGUUUAAUAUCUGAUACGUCCCCCAUCGGGGGACUACAUAUUAAAUGGAUUUUUCGAACAGGGAGUCGGAAAUGGGGCUUGCUCCAUCCGCUCCACGCAUCGACCCGGUAUUGCAGUACCUCCGGGAACGGUGCAACACUU
rnacentral:snRNA from 1 species